GCAGACACAUUCCAGCCAAUCAGCAGCAGACCCUCCCUCCCAGUCCCUCCCACCUUCUGGACAGCGUCCAUUUUGAAGCUGCAUUCUUAGUGAGCUGUCCAGGAGGUGGGAGGGUCUGGGAGGGAGGGUCUGCUGCUGAUUGGCUGGAAUGUAGUG
rnacentral:miRNA from 1 species